UCCCAUAUGGUCUAGCGGUUAGGAUUUCUGAUUUUCACCCAGACUGCCAGGGUUUGACUCCCGGUAUGGGAA
rnacentral:tRNA from 1 species